UACGGGGGGGCAAGCGUUGUUCGGAAUUACUGGGCGUAAAGGGCUUGUAGGUGGCCAACUAAGUCAGACGUGAAAUCCCUCGGCUUAACCGGGGAACUGCGUCUGAUACUGGAUUGGCUUGAGUGUGGGAGAGGGGUGCGGAAUUCCAGGUGUAGCGGUGAAAUGACGUAGAUAUCGGGAGGAACACCUGUGGCGAAAGCGGCGCACUGGACCAUAACUGACGCUGAGGCGCGAAAGCUAGGGGAGCAAACAGG
rnacentral:rRNA from 1 species